rnacentral:rRNA from 1 species
CAAUGGGAGGUCUAGGCCAUGCGAGUCAUUGUAGCAAUACAAGGCAGACGGCUCAGUAACGCGUAGUCAACCUAACCUAUGGACGGGAAUAACCUCGGGAAACUGAGAAUAAUGCCCGAUAGAACACUAUACCUGGAAUGGUUUGUGUUCCAAAUGAUUUAUCGCCGUAGGAUGGGACUGCGGCCUAUCAGUUUGUUGGUGAGGUAAUGGCCCACCAAGACUAUUACAGGUACGGGCUCUGAGAGGAGUGGCCCGGAGAUGGGUACUGAGACACGGACCCAGGCCCUAUGGGGCGCAGCAGGCGAGAAAACUUUGCAAUGUGCGAAAGCACGACAAGGUUAAUCCGAGUGGUUUCUGCUAAAGAAACCUUUUGUCAGUCCUAGAAACACUGAUGAAUAAGGGGUGGGCAAGUUCUGGUGUCAGCCGCCGCGGUAAAACCAGCACCUCAAGUGGUCAGGAUGAUUAUUGGGCCUAAAGCAUCCGUAGCCUGCUUUGUAAGUUUUCGGUUAAAUCCAUAUGCUCAACAUAUGGGCUGCCGGGAAUACUGCAAAGCUAGGGAGUGGGAGAGGUAGACGGUACUCGGUAGGAAGGGGUAAAAUCCUUUGAUCUAUUGAUGACCACCUGUGGCGAAGGCGGUCUACCAGAACACGUCCGACGGUGAGGGAUGAAAGCUGGGGGAGCAAACCGGAUUAGAUACCCGGGUAGUCCCAGCUGUAAACUAUGCAAACUCAGUGAUGCAUUGGCUUGAUGCCAAUGCAGUGCUGCAGGGAAGCCGUUAAGUUUGCCGCCUGGGAAGUACGUACGCAAGUAUGAAACUUAAAGGAAUUGGCGGGGGAGCACCACAAGGGGUGAAGCCUGCGGUUCAAUUGGAGUCAACGCCGGG